rnacentral:pre_miRNA from 10 species
UCGAGUGGUUUAGGUAGUUUCAUGUUGUUGGGAUCUGUCUUCUUACUCUGCAACACGAAACUGUCUUAAUUGCCUCA